rnacentral:rRNA from 1 species
CCUACGGGAGGCAGCAGUGAGGAAUAUUGGUCAAUGGACGAGAGUCUGAACCAGCCAAGUAGCGUGAAGGAUGACUGCCCUAUGGGUUGUAAACUUCUUUUAUAUGGGAAUAAAACGUUCCACGUGUGGGAUUUUGUAUGUACCAUAUGAAUAAGGAUCGGCUAACUCCGUGCCAGCAGCCGCGGUAAUAUGGAGGAUCCGAGCGUUAUCCGGAUUUAUUGGGUUUAAAGGGAGCGUAGGUGGAUUGUUAAGUCAGUUGUGAAAGUUUGCGGCUCAACCGUAAAAUUGCAGUUGAAACUGGCAGUCUUGAGUACAGUAGAGGUGGGCGGAAUUCGUGGUGUAGCGGUGAAAUGCUUAGAUAUCACGAAGAACUCCGAUUGCGAAGGCAGUUCACUGGACUGCAACUGACACUGAGGCUCGAAAGUGUGGGUAUCAAACAGGAUUAGAUACCCUAGUAGUC